GGUAAAUGGUGACCACAUCUAAAUUAAUACAUCAGUGCUGCCUGUGUUCUCAUCAGUUGUUAAGAAGACACUGGUGAUGAGCCUUGUUAAAGGACGGCAUUAAUGUGAUCAUCACCCAGAAUGGCUCUUCAUCUGAUCCUUCUGCUCAUGAUUAUGGGAGCUUUUGGAACAGAGUGGAGUGUGAAGUACAACCAACAGGAAAUCUGUGCUUUAAAAGGAUCCACAGUGUUUAUGAACGGAACUUUUACUCACCCAGAAGGUCUCACAGUGACAGAGACUUUCUGGACUGUAGAUCCAUCUGAGAAACCUGAUCUGUCUAAAAGCCCAGAUUACUCUGGCAGAGUCGAGUAUUUAAGUACUAAACAGAAACAAUCCUCCCUCAAACUGAGUGAUCUGAUGAAGAAGGAUGAAGAAAAGUUCUUCUUCAGAAUCAUAACAAAUGUAGAAAAAGAAAGAUGGGUGGGUCAACCUGGAGUUCAGCUCAGAGUUACAGAGCUCCAUGUAGAAGCUCCUGAAGAAGUGACCGAGGGACAAACAGCAGAUCUGACAUGUAAGACCACCUGCAGUCUGACUGACCCAACAUUCAUCUGGUACAAAAAUGGACAUCCUUUAACCACAAAGACCAUCAAGAACAACCAGCUCCACCUGCAGACGGUCAGCAGUGAGGAUGUAGGCAGUUAUAGCUGUGCUGUAAGAGGAUCUCAACACCUCCGCUCUACUGCUCACAGCCUCAGAGUCAGAUAUCCUCCAAAGAAUGUCUCUGUGUCCAUCAAUCCCUCUGGUGAAAUAGUGGAGGGCAGUUCAGUGACUCUGACCUGCAGCAGUGAUGGAAACCCACCUGUGAAGAUCUACACCUGGUUUAAGGGAACAAUAUCAGUAGGAGAAGGAAAAACCUACAGCAUUCCCAACAUCAGAUCUGAGGACAGUGGAGAAUACACAUGCCAGAGUCGGAAUGAUCAUGGAGAGAGAAGAUCCACUGCUGUGUAUUUAAAUGUUCUCUAUCUUCCAAAGAAUGUCUCCGUGUCCAUCAGGUCCUCUGGACACACAGUGGUGGGCUUUUCAGUGACUCUGACCUGCAGCAGUGAUGGAAACCCACCUGUGAAGAUCUACACCUGGUUUAAAGAAGAUGGAACCUCACCUGUAGGAUCUGGACACAGUUACAGUCCUCUACAGAGUGGAUCUUACUACUGCGAGGCUCAGAAUGAACAUGGAGCUCAGAGAUCAGAUCUGGUGCCAGUCGAUUUAAACGGUCACUCAGUGAUUCUGUAUGGAGCUGCUGGAGUCGGACUUUGUGGGGUUGCAGUUCUUCUCUCUGGGUUUUUCUGGAUGAGGAGGAAGAGGCAGAGCAGAAAUGUGGAUGAACCAGACUAUGUGAACACAGGCCUCAGGGUCAAGUCCCCUGAUGACGACUCUUGCGGUGUUAAUGUCUACGAGAAUGUGACAGUGAGUCAAUACAGAAAGCAGGUCUCAGAGCCCCGCCUCCUGAUGACCACUCAUCCAGCGCUGAAGACUAUGAGAACAUGACGGGCUCAGGACUCGAUGCUCCGCCUCCUGAUGACGGCUCAUCCAGCGCUGAAGACUAUGAGAACAUAACCGCUUAAAAUGAGAAAACAUCCCAGAUUUUCCACGUGGUCUCAGACGUUUGGACCCCAAAAGCUCAAGAUUCUCUUCUUUUAAGAUGGAAUUUGCAUCAUAUGCUUCACUCAGUAAUAUCACUCAUUAAAAUGCCAUCAAUCUGUAUCGAUUCUAUUAAAUCCUUCUACAUAUUUUAUUCUUGUA